UGAGGAAUAUUGGUCAAUGGACGCAAGUCUGAACCAGCCAAGUAGCGUGCAGGAUGACGGCCCUAUGGGUUGUAAACUGCUUUUAUAUGAGGAUAAAGUGGGGAACGUGUUCCCUUUUGCAGGUACCAUAUGAAUAAGGACCGGCUAAUUCCGUGCCAGCAGCCGCGGUAAUACGGAAGGUUCGGGCGUUAUCCGGAUUUAUUGGGUUUAAAGGGAGCGUAGGCCGUUUGGUAAGCGUGUUGUGAAAUGUAGGAGCUCAACUUCUAGAUUGCAGCGCGAACUGUCAGACUUGAGUGCGCACAACGUAGGCGGAAUUCAUGGUGUAGCGGUGAAAUGCUUAGAUAUCAUGAAGAACUCCGAUUGCGAAGGCAGCUUACGGGAGCGCAACUGACGCUGAAGCUCGAAGGUGCGGGUAUCGAACAGG
rnacentral:rRNA from 1 species